CAUGAACUGGAUUCAACGAAAAUCUGGAAUGUCAUCAUAUUUGAAAAAUAAGCGAUGAAAGGCCGCAACAAUUAAACACAAUACGCAGUGUUUGUUUUUAAUAACGCCCGUCGUGUGAUUGACAGCGGUUAAAAUGCAGCCAACCAGCGUCCGCCUGACUUACCUGAUUAAUCGUGUCAUGUCCAACUACAGUAAACUGUCGGGCGAGUCGUGAUUCGUGGAAAAUUCAUGUUGAAGGCUUGUAAGCGUGGUACGCCGAUCACGAUGGCAAUGAUGACUAUGGCAAUGUAAGCAACUUUUUACCAGUAAAAAAUUGGCAAAAGCUCAAAAGUCUCUCCUUCCACGUCCCACGUCAAACAUUGAAGUAUGUCACUUAACAAGUAAUUAAAGUGUUGACAGGUUUGAGUGGCUACCCACAUUAUGUUUA